GCACGGAUGGCCGAGUGGUCUAAGGCGCCAGACUCAAGCGUAAACUUGCCGUGAGAUAACGGUGCUGGGCGUUCUGGUACUCGUAUGAGUGCGUGGGUUCAAAUCCCACUCCGUGCA
rfam:Haemonchus contortus, ISE/inbred ISE, WGS project CAVP01000000 data, contig: Hcontortus_49673